UAUCUAUUAAUUGAAUCAAAUAUUCCACCAAAAUAUGUAAUAUUACUAAUGAACAGACACGAUGAUCUCGUCAGUUUAGCUUAUUAACGGGGAAGCUGUUAGCAAGGAAACCAAUAUAUCCGCAACCGGUUAGCUUGCUAACGUGGAAGCUGUUAUCAAGCUAACCACUAUAUCCACAACCGGUUAGCUUGCUAAUCACUGUAUCCACAACCGGUUAGCUUGCUAACGUAGAAGCUGUUCGCAAGCUAACCACUAUAUCAACAACCAGUUAGCUACAAAAAAGCAGUUAGCAAGCUAACCAGUAGCUAACUCGUUAGCAUUACGUCCUCACCAGCCAGCCUUACCAACACUGAUUUUAAGUGCGAUGUGGUGUGGAAAGACAUAAUUUUAAAAUGUGCCCCAUCGAAUCCUUUGACAAACUCUCCAUGUUGGGGAAAAGUGAGAUUUCAUGCAGCUACGACUUCCUCAUCAAAUUAUUGAUUCUGCUCAAACUGUCAGAAACUAAUUGCUCAAGCGAUGAAGCUGUUAAUUUAUCCAACAGAGAAACAGAUGGCAAAGUGAUUGUUUCCUCACAAAUACUUAGAGGCAUGAGAGAGAGAGGAGAACAUCUAAUGUUAUCCAGCAAAGCGUAUUAGAUUGUUGUUUCACCAACUCAACCAGCCUUCCAAUUCCAUAUCCAGUAAUAAUAACACCAGCAAUAACACACCUGAAGGUACUUGAUUUUAUCCCUUAGGAUAGCAAAUAAAAAGGCACAUUUUGUAAAAGCCCAGUUUAACAUCACCUAUGUGCAAAUAUUAUUACGAUAAGAUAUGCUUGAUUCUUUGAUACGAUAUUUAUUGGUCCGUUUGGGAUUCAACAGGGCAAGAAAGUGAUCUUUCUACUGAUAUCGAAUCCGACUGCAGUCCAGUUGGUCAGUCUGUUGAAGUCACCUUUCAAGCUUAUGUCGUUUCUGUGCAGUACACUGGAACAUGACCCCAACUUGCACGAAAGCACAGCGGUUUGAACUCUUUCGGAGGCCUCUACAGCUGAAAUAUUGAUGACCUCCUGCGUUUCUUUUUCCCUUUGGACAAUGAGUCAAGAGCAAAUAACAGGAGGUUGUUUUAUUGUAUUAGUUUAUUUAAUUAAUCCUUUCCCGCAUUUACUUGUGAUCUUUCCAACUGCUUCAAACAUCGUCACAUAGAGCAGAAGGUCUUUGUUGACGUCACCGCUGUAAUGAGAUGUUUCAAAUAUCUUCACACGACAAUGAGUCGUGAGAACAGAGUUCAUCAUAAUAGCGCGAGUCCCAGAGGAGAGAGAGAGAGAGAGAAAAGACCUUUCUUUUUUUUCACUGAGACGAAGUGGAGGAAAUGAGAAAACGUAGAGGGAGAGACUCCAGAAAUGUUGCUUUGACCGUGUCGUUAAGCCUCAUCAAUCAGCCGGCUUUAGGGCCCCUGGUAGCCAAUAAUAAAUCUCGUGGCUGGUGAUGUCUCUGUCAAUGACAACCCCCCCCCCCCUCCAGCUCUCCGUCUGGGUGGGGCCCGGCGUGACUGGAGUGGGGGGCUCCCUCCAGCACGUCCUCCAGGUUUGGGCCGUAAACCAACCUCAUUUUCUGCUCCGCUGCUUUACAAAUGGCUUCUGGGGGCUGAACGCAGCGCCACAAAUGGGGACGCACUGAUGGCCAUAAGAGUCGUGUGAUCAGAGCCGGCAACGAUGCAGCCCGCUGUGCAGACCGGACGCACCUACCAAAACCAAAUGAUCUUUUUUCGAAAUUAGCACAUGUCAAUAACACGGAGACUCUUUUUAUUUUUUAUCAUGAUCUAUGACCAACAUCAGGGGAAAAUGUCCC
ensembl:lncRNA